rnacentral:rRNA from 1 species
GAUGAACGCUGGCGGCGUGCCUAAUACAUGCAAGUCGAGCGGAAGGACGCGAAGCUUGCUUCUUUGAUGUUAGCCGCGCACGGGUGUGUAACACGUGUAUAACCCCCCUGUCUGACUGGGAACACUUCGGGACUGCGGAGCUUAUACCGGAUGAUCUUUUGCACCGCGUUGUUCGAUAGUGAAAGACGGUGUUUCUGGCUCUUCUAGCUGCAUCCGCGCUGCAGUAGCUGGUUGGUACGGUCAAGGCCUACCAAGGCAAGGAUGCAUAGCCGACCUGAGAGGGGGAUAGGCCACACUGGAACGGAGACGCGGUCCUGACGCCUACGAGAGGGAGCAGUAGGGAAUGGGACGCAAUGGGCGAAAGCCUGACGGAGCAACGGCGCGUGAGUGAUGAAGGUCUUGGGAUCGUAAAACUCUGUUUUUAGGGAAGAACAGAUGUGUAAGUAACUGUGCACAGCGUGACGGUACUUAAUCAGAAAGCCACGGCUAACUACGUG